rnacentral:lncRNA from 1 species
UGAAUCGAUUUUUUUGAUUUAUUUUUUUACCAUAUCAUAAAGUAAUAGCUAAUAGUGUAAUAAAUAAAAUUUGUAAUGAAAAAAUAACAAAGGUUCAUUUUUUUGCUGAAAUUUUUGUACCCACGAGCCACCUUAAGCAGCCAAGUUUGUAAAUGGCAAAUUCCAUAAUGUAUUAAUCAACAAUGUAUGGAAAAAAUCACAUUAUAAUAUUUAUGACCAUACAGAAAUUCAAAUUUCUUUUUAUAUCAGUUUUAACUUGUUUUUUAAUCUUUUUAGAAUGAAUAUAACAAUUCAAAGAUGAAAAAAAUGAAUGGGAGACAACUCUUAAUCUUAAUGGGGGAUAACUCUAAAUGUAAUAGUUUCCAAGAAAUGCUUAUAAAAAUUCCUACGUUUACAUCAAGUUAAUUAAACAGCCAUAGGUUUUAUGUUAUUAGUUGCUGAAUUGCUGUUCUUUACUAUACUCUCUGUACAACUCAAUAUAUGGAUUGAUUUAAGAGAGAUUGUAUACAUAAUUCAUUUAAGAAAUAACUCAUGCAAUACAAUGAUUUAUUUGAAAUGUUCACAUGGUCUGGACUUUUUUAUUCAAAUAUAUUUACAGAGUUAGAUCUUAUUUUAUUUCAAAUAUGUUUCUAUUUAAUCAAAUGUUUGAACAUAUUAUAGCACUUGUUUUCUUUUGCUAGAUUUCAGUAUUGAUAGAGUCAGGUUGUUUGUUUUUGUAAAUCAGAGCUCUGAUAAAAAUUAAUACAAUUUCAUCUUCCUUGUUGAUCAUGAAUUAUGACAUAUAUACAUGUGACAUUUAUGAAAUAUUUCAUUGUGUAAUUGGAGAAGUGGUAUAUGGUACAAUUUAUACAAUAUGAUGUUUAUAGUGCUGUAAAUUUAUACAACUAUUGCUGAUUUAGGCCAAGUUAUAGGUGAGCUUUUGUUAAUUAUACUAUUAUGGUUUGAUAUACCCAUUGAAUUUAAUGAAAGAGUAAAUUUUAAUGUUUAUAUAUAUAUUUAUAAUAAAAUACUAUUUCAGUACAUGCAUCUGUAUCUUUAUUUCGAUUUUGCUCAUUUAAAGUGUGCAAAGCUAAAAGGCUGAUGUCAACAUUUGUCAACUAACUGCUGUCAUCACAUUGUCUUUAUUUUCAAUAUAAAAGUAUGAACAAAAAGAGAUGUUGUGUAUCAAUUUGUUGACAAGAUUUUCUCUCUAG